rnacentral:sRNA from 1 species
ACAUUGAAUGAGUCAGUGAUGUUGGUGGGUGCUUGGUACGGGGCCCGGCUUACAUAAGAAAUCUGUAAAUGGCAGCUGUCAUUGUGGCUACUGGUGUGUUGUGUGCAUUGGAAUCUGUCAGGGACUUAAGAGACUGAGGGGGUUCCAGGAGCUUUGUGGGGCAGCAUUGGGAGUGUGAACCCCCAUCCAGGUUCUCACCUCUCAAACUUCCUCAGAUGCUGAGCCCCACUUAUAAGCAGCGUAAUGAGGACUUCCGGAAACUGUUCAGCAAACUCCCCGAAGCAGAACGCCUCAUUGUGGAUUACUCCUGCGCCCUGCAGCGUGAGAUCCUGCUCCAGGGCCGCCUCUACCUCUCCGAGAACUGGAUCUGCUUCUACAGCAACAUCUUCCGCUGGGAGACCACGAUCUCCAUCCAGCUGAAGGAAGUGACAUGUCUGAAGAAGGAAAAGACGGCCAAGCUGAUCCCCAACGCCAUCCAGAUCUGCACGGAGAGCGAGAAGGUGACGGAGGACCCGGUGACGGGACCACGCGGUCACCCCCUCAGCAGGCCGCCUCCCCCAAACAUGCAAAGCCUCAUUUGUUCUGCACCCUGAGUUCUC